rnacentral:lncRNA from 1 species
ACCCAUUUCUUCUCUCUUUUCCUUCUCUCUCGCGCCUCACCCUCAUUGUCCGAAAAUCCCUUUCGACCCGACCCAAACCCGGCCGACCCGACCCGACUUUUUCGGCCACCUCGGACCGACCUAGACGCCGGCACCGGUUGGGUUUUCUUCCUCUCCUCCGUCCGAGCUGCCUUGUGGUGGUGGCUUGCGCCGAUUCUCAGCGGUGUGUGCGAUUCGAAGCUUGGAUGUUCGGGUUAGAGACCCGAACGAAAUUCUCACCUCCGGCGGUGGCGACGCAGCUUGGAACCGGUCGGGAUAGAUGCUCCUUGGCGUCCUGGUUUUUUUUCUGGUAGUCUUCUAGUGCGACUCACGGCGGAGAGUGACGGUGGUGGAUUCCAAACUUUCAAGCGAGUUUCCAGUGUUUUCCUACCGAUUCCAGCCGAAUUGGUUCAACCGUCAGGUAUAAAAGUUGUUUCCCUUUCUUCAAUCUACAAGUUUGCUGUUGGAAGUUUGUUGAGAUUUUGAAGUUGCUGGGGUGGCGCGUGGGGCCCACUCGUCGCCGUCUAUGGUGGAACGUGGCGGCGCGUCCGACAGGGGUUGGGAGGUUAGGAGUAACUGUUAGCUUAUGUUCGUCGAUACAAGCACGUUGACAUAUCAUGAGGUUAUGUUAUGAUCAAGUUUUGCAUCCUAGGUUUAAGAGAAUCGUGAGAGAUUGUUAAGCUUUGGUGUUUGAGCUUUGAAAUUCUUGUUAGCUAUUUCAAUAGGUUGGUUAAGGGUUCCUAUGACCUUGGGAGGUCUCGGAAGAAGGUUGUCCCUUUUUGGGCAAAUCUUAGGUUAAGGCUUGUUAAGGGUGCAAUGUUCUUUUUGUUUAAGUGGUUAUUAAAGUUAUUAAUUGUGUUAAAUAGGUAGCGUGUGGAGUUGAUAUUUAAGCUUGGCUCUUGUGUUGUGUUGAAGACACAGCGGGAAUUUAGGUGAGUAAAAUCUCACCAAGGUUCACUUUGUGACAUAUUUAUUUAUGGUUAUUAUGAUGAUGAUAAUUAUUAUGAUGAUGAUUAUGAUGAUGAAAAUGUUGAUGAUGAAGAUUUAAAAACUAUGUUUUUCUUUUUGCUUGUUUUAAAAUAUAUGAGUUUAAUCGCCAACGACUCAUAGGUAAGAAAAAACAAGUUUUUAUAUUUAAAUGAUUAUUUUUAAGGUUCUUGUGAUCAUAAUAUUUUAGUUCUUGGUAGAUUAUUCUUGUGGGAAUAUCUAUGAUUGUUCAUAUAAAUAUAUCUAUGUGGAAGAAUAUAAUUUUUAUGAUGUGCUCUUUGUGUUGUUGAUGAUGAUAUUAUUAUAUUGUGAGUAAAUCUCACAUGGGUUCAUAAAGAAAUCGAGUUUAUUUUAUAGUUUAUUAUUGCUAAUUGUGAAGUUGUCCUUGAAAUGAAAUGAUUUUGUUUUUAAAUAUAAAUGAGCUUGAUCGUCAACGGCUCAUGGGUAAGUAAAAAUAUUUUUCUGAUAAAAAUAAAAUAUUUCAAAAGAACUUCUGAUCAUGGGUUAUUAGUUGUCGAUGUGUGUGUCUUAGUGGUAAUUGUGUGCAUUAGUUGUGGAACAGUGCCUUAGUGGUGAACUGGUGAUUGUGUGCAUUAGUUGUGGAUGUGUGUGUCUUAAUGAUGAUUGUGUGCAUUCGUUGUGGAAUGUGCCUUAGUAGUGAUUGUGUGUCUUAGUUGUGAAUGUGUGCCUUAGUGGUGAUUGUAUGCAUUAGUUGUGGAUGUGUGUCUUAGUGGUGAUUGUGUGCAUUAGAUUAGGAGUCUUCGUGGUGGACCGGGAACCAAGCCUUGGCCGGGUGAUUGAUUACGGUCAGUAUAGAGCUCUAGUUUGUCUGUCGGUACUUCAUGGGGGAUGACUAAGUGUCAACGAACCCAUGCGUACGCGUUUGUUUGGUUACUUAUGAGGGAUGACUAAGUGUUGACGAACUCAUAAGUAAGAGUAGAGAAAUGAUUAUGUGAUGUUCUUAUGUGUUGUCAUUUAAAUUCCUUGCUUUGAGUAUCUCCUGAACUAUGCUUAUCCGCAGGAGAUUCUAAAUCUUUACUUGUGAUUUUUAGUGAAUUCCUGAACUACAUUUUUUUGCAGGAUUCAUUUAUGAUUUUAAUUAUUUGUGGAUGGUUGUGUUUUCUUAUUUACUCUAUUUUAAAUUCUCUCAUUUUUAGGCAAUUCCUGAACUAAGUUUAUAAGCAAGAAUUACUGAUGUUUAUCUUGUGAUGUUAGGUUGAGUUCUUUAAUGUAGAUUUACUCAUAUGAGCUUUUAAAGCUUACCGAGUUUGUUGUUUACAACCCGGUACACCAAUCCAGGGUGUAGAGGUUGAUUUUGCAGGUCAGGUUUAGCAGAGUUAAGGCUGCGGCAAUUAGGUAAUUUUUCUUUUUGUUUACUUUCUAGUUGUUGUGAGUAUUGAGAGAGUUUUACUUUGUUCAAAAUUAUUUUCCACAAGUUGUAAAACUAAAUUGUUGUAGUGAUUGUUUUUCUUUUUUGGUUAUUAUGCCUUGAAUUUGAAAUUUUUUAUUUAUCCAAAAUUUAGGGUGUGACAACCUAAACGCUUGAUUUGUUCCACUUUCUGAAAGCGGGAGGAAUCACUUAAAGUGCUUAGGCUCUACGUAUUUUUCGACCGCGCAAGGAAGAGUAGAAAUCCUGAGAUUGCACAAAGUCAUCCUCUUUCAAGUUUUGUAUGUCUCUUCUUUAACAUGGAAAACACUUCGAGCAAAUUCAUUUCCUUGUUUUGAUAUGGCAGUACUCUAUACAACCCGAGCAAACUCAUUUUCUUACUUUGUUAUGACUGGACUUAGAAGCAUCUUCCAAGCUGCCUACGUACUCUUACGAGAAAGAGAUCAAGUCACGACGUAGUUCAAGGAUUUUUUUAUAUUUUUUUAGGUGUCGUACGCAGUUUAUGCUCGUGGGGGCAAGGAGCAUUUUUUUUUUUGUGCCUUGUGCAGUUGAGGCUCAUGCAGGCUAGGAGUUGUUUUUUUUUUUCUUUUUUUUGGUUGUCAUUUGCAAUUUAAGCUCGUGCAGACAAGGAGCGAUAAUUUUUUUUUGUUUUUUGUUUUUUUUUGUGUGUCAUUCGCAGUUUAAACUAGUGCGGACAAGAAACAUUUUGACUCUUGAGUGGUCUACAUAAAUUUAGACGGGUUGCAUGCCCCUAACAAAGGUGUUGAGGACACCACUUCAAGGUGUUCAAAAAAGAUGGUUGCAUAAUUUGACUAAGCCACGUCAUCUUCAACAUCUAAACAUAUCUUUCCUUGUUGUGCUAGCUUCAUGAUGAGGUCUUUCAAGACGAAGCCCUUCUCCAGGAUGACCGAUGACACGGUGGUACUUGUAAUACUUAGGAUCAUUGACACGAUGCAUCUCUUCUGGACGCUUGCAGUCUGGCAAUUUGAUUAGUUCUUUUUCAAGCAAGUUUUCCAACAUCUCAACAACAUCGAAAUCUGGAAAAGGGUAACUUUUAGCUUCCAAGUCAUUUAGAGUUUGCCUCCUUGCUUGAUCUUGCAGGAGUUGUACUGAUUGCCAAAGACUCUUGAUUCUCUGGUUCUAUGAUGUCACAUUUUCUUUGGCCAUGACUAGCCAAACUGAGUUCCAUGUCAUGAGCUCGGGUAGCAAGUUCUUCAAAGGUGCGAGGCUUUAUCCCUUGAAAAAUGUACAACAAAUCCCAAUGCAUGCCUUGAAUACACAUCUAUACCGCUGACAAUUUUAAGAGUCGGUCUUUGCAGUCGAGACUUAGUGUACGCCAACGAUUGAUGAACUCUACAGCAGGCUCGCCAUUUUGUUGUUUGGUGUUGGUGAGCUCUAACAUACUCACCAUGCGACGUGUGUUGAAGAAGUGGUUCAAGAACUCCUUUUCCAUUUGCUCCCAGCUGUCAAUGAAUUCAGGCUCCAAGUCUGUAAACCAUUUAAACUCCGUGCCUUGGAGUGAGCGAACAAAUUGCUUCACAAGAUGAUCACCAUCGGUGCCAGUGUUGUUGCAUGUUUCGAUGAAAUGUGCGAUGUGUUGCUUUGGGUUACAUUUGCCAUCAAAUUGUUAAAACUUGGGAGGUUGGUAACCAGUUGACAUUCUCAAAUUGUCUAGCCGCUUGGUGUAAGACUUGGAAUACGUUAGUGUAUCUCGAGGCGAACCACCAUAUUGAGCUUUGAUUGUCUUGGCAAUCAUGUCUUGAAGCUGUUGAACUAACAAUGAAGCUAGGAUGGAAUUUGAUUCUCCUUUUUGCUCGGAAGAUGAUCCACUAGACUUGUCUUUCUUAUCGCCAUGAAGGUUAUUCUCCGAGUCAUUGUCGUGGUGAACUUCUAGCUUCUCCAUGAGUGAUGCAAUUUCUACAUCCUUCUCUUCAAUGGUCUUUUGGAGCUUCUUCACCGCUUCAGUCAACUGGGCUAUUUGGGCCGCUUGUUCUUCCAUGUUGAUCACUUCUAUCACCAUGACUUGCAUGGCGCAAGAGUCGUCUUCUAGAAUCGCUUCAAUUUGAUUGUCAAGAUGCAAUUCCAAGUGUGGACAUAUCUUCGAAUCAACUUUGGUUGUGGGCGAAGGAGAAUGUUUCCUCGAGUUGCCUGACGAUGUUAAAAGUCUUUGCUUCGUGAGGUUUGCCACCAUUGUUGUCCAAACGUCGAUCAGCUGAAACUGCUUUGAGGAAUGAAGGUUGAAUGUUGUGAGUUGAAAUGACUCACUAUGAGCAACAUGAUCGCUAAGGUUUCUACUGCUUUUCAGAGUAGCUAUAUAGCUACCUUGUUGGUCUUGUUUUUCGAUUUGAUUUGCACCAUCUUUGAAGCCAUGUGAUGAGGAUGGCGAGAUUGUCGGAGGAGGAGAUGAGAGGCAGAGAUGGUCUCACUGGGCGUGCCAAUUUUGUAAACACGAAAAUUUCUGUAACGAAUAACAGAAAGACAUGUGUACAAAAUAAUAUAUUUGUAUUGAUUGAAUUUGCGGGUUACAAUCUCUGUGGGUAUUCUUUUAACAAGAAUGUCCUCUGAUUCGAUCUCCAUCGUUGAUUUGAUCCAAGGGUGACGAGCACUUGAUCUUGAAUUGAACUGUUGUAGUUUGAACUUCUUAUCGUGUUGACGAUUUGUAGAAGGAAGUUGACCAAGGGCCGUAGAGGCUUGAUCUUGGUCGAAUUUGGGUCGAGAAAGGUGUCACGUGGUGAACGUUCUUCGGCUUGAUAGCGGAUGAAUCGGCACGUGUGUUUGGUGCUUGUUGAUUCUCCAACAGCUUGUUGAAGAACUUGGUAAAAGUUUUGAUUUGUUGAAAGGCUUGAAGACGAGGGUUGAUCAAAGGCCGUAGAGGCUUGACAUUGAUCGGGUUUGGGCCACGAGCAGUUCCACGUGGUGGUUGCUCUUCGUCUUGUAGUUGGUGAAGAUGUCGGCUAUUUGACAAUUUGGGACUCUUCGGGAUUUGACAACUUCUAGGUUUGAGGUUGAUGAAGAAUCGACUAUUUGACAGCUUGAUAAUUCUUCAAGGGUUCUGGGAGAAUUCUGAGCUCUCGAGAGUAAUUUUUCUCUCUUGUCCGGAAGUCCUCUUCUUGAUAUGAGAGAGGGGUAUUUAUAGUGUCGACGUUCCUCCGUUUAUGGAAUGUUUUGAAGACAGUGUUUUAAUUGUAUUUCCUUAACAGUAUAAUUAAAUCAAUCAGUUUUGAUUGAUUGAUCUAAUUAUAAUUAUUAACAUAAUUAAAUCAGUCUGUAUUUAUUGAUUGAUUCGAUUAUGACUGAUAAAGUAUUUUGCUAAUUUGAUUAAAUGUUCGACUUCCUUUCCGAUAAUCAAUUUAAUUUGAUUGAAAUUUGAUUAUCGAUUGACAUUUAAUAUUUACUUUUAGUCGGAAUUGAUGAUUUUUGUUGUCGACUGAUCAUUCACACGUGACCACAUGUCAUUUUCGAAGACUUUAUAAUUUUUCCAACUGACGAACCACAUAUGC